rnacentral:rRNA from 1 species
UGGCAUUCAUCGGUGCCUGCGUGCUUCGCUUUUGCGUUGCGCCUGGCUUCGUGCAUUUGCCUGCGGCAUACGCUGAGGCGGUUGGUUGCCCCUUCUGAAAUGUGCGGCGUUGCCCACCUUCGGGUGGUGUCUUGUCGUGCGUGGAGGUUGUUUGUGGUGGCUAGCUGUGCGAAAGCGCGGAUCCGGCCUUUGCGCGAUUGUCUGCUAGCGUGCGUUCGGUUUCGGCGGUGGCUUGCCACCUGUCGUUGCUGUGGCGUUCGUGUGGUGGGCGGUUGCUCAUUGGAUUCGUUCUCGGUGUGAAAAGUCGACCACCUAUCCGACCCGUCUUGAAACACGGACCAAGAAGUGUAGCAUUUGCGCGAGUCAUUGGGUGUUAAACCUAUUGGCGUAAUGAAAGUAAAGCUGGCCUUGCGUCAGUGAUAUGUGAUCCGUGCGCCCUUGGGCGUGCGGCGCAACAUAGCCCCAUGCCGGCUGCUUGCAGCGGUGUGGAGGUAGAGCGUAAAUGCUGCGACCCGAAAGAUGGUGAACUAUGCCCGAGCAGGAUGAAGCCAGAGGAA